rnacentral:misc_RNA from 1 species
UCCGGUUUGACACCGGCAGUCUCCCUAGAGUGCCCGGCAUGACCCGCUGGUAACUAGGGACGAGGGUUGCGCUCGUUGCGGGACUUAACCCAACAUCUCACGACACGAGCUGACGACAGCCAUGCAGCACCUGUGCACGGACUCCGAAGAGGAACCGAUGUUUCCACCGGCUUUCCCGUGCAUGUCAAGCCCAGGUAAGGUGGGGAUGACGUCGUAUCUCACUG